GACGAACGCUGGCGGCGUGCUUAACACAUGCAAGUCGAACGGUAAGGCCCUUUCGGGGGUACACGAGUGGCGCACGGGUGAGUAACACGUGGGUGAUCUGCCCUGCACUUUGGGAUAAGCCUGGGAAACUGGGUCUAAUACCGGAUAGGACUACGCGAUGCAUGUCGUGUGGUGGAAAGCUUUUGCGGUGUGGGAUGGGCCCGCGGCCUAUCAGCUUGUUGGUGGGGUGAUGGCCUACCAAGGCGACGACGGGUAGCCGGCCUGAGAGGGUGUCCGGCCACACUGGGACUGAGAUACGGCCCAGACUCCUACGGGAGGCAGCAGUGGGGAAUAUUGCACAAUGGGCGCAAGCCUGAUGCAGCGACGCCGCGUGGGGGAUGACGGCCUUCGGGUUGUAAACCCCUUUCAGCACAGACGAAGCGUAAGUGACGGUAGGUGCAGAAGAAGCACCGGCCAACUACGUG
rnacentral:rRNA from 1 species